UCAUCGGUGGUUUGAUGGUAGAAUGCUCGUUUGCCACGUGGGCAGCCCGAGUUCGAUUCCGAGUCGAUGCA